UACGUAGGGUGCAAGCGUUAAUCGGAAUUACUGGGCGUAAAGCGUGCGCAGGCGGUCAUGCAAGACAGAUGUGAAAUCCCCGGGCUUAACCUGGGAACUGCAUUUGUGACUGCGUGACUAGAGUAUGGUAGAGGGGAAUGGAAUUCCGCGUGUAGCAGUGAAAUGCGUAGAUAUGCGGAGGAACACCGAUGGCGAAGGCAAUUCCCUGGACCUGUACUGACGCUCAUGCACGAAAGCGUGGGGAGCAAACAGG
rnacentral:rRNA from 1 species